AUGGCAUUAGGGGGGCAGGGGGGCUCACGCAAACCAAAGGGGGAAAACAUGGUGAAGGCCACCGAACUUGUGAAAUGGUCCUUACUUUUUGAAGAUAGUGAUAGCGCGGUGCUUAUGAGAAUUGAGUUCCUUGUUGUGGCCAUUGCAUCUGUCUUCCUCCUGAUGUCAUUCUUGGACAUGUUCCGUCAGUGCACCCUUCAAGAAAGAUCUGUUUUCAAUAUGGGCGCUAAUAUUGGUCAACCUGCGGUUCAAUGCUUGCUUCAUCUCGGCAUCCCUGACCAAGACAACAGCCACAUUACCGAGGGCGCUAGGGUGAUGUCACUUCUAGGGGUGGCCUUCUUAAUUGGCACACAGAACAGUCAGUUCAAGCAUCCCAUCUGGGUGCUCUGGGCAAUGCAGCAAAUGAGAAGUAUGUACCUAAUAGUUGCGUACAGUUGGGCCUCAGGCUCCUUCUUGCACGGUUGGAGCUCACCACUUGUGACAGCAUAUAUGGGUACCGAGGCUGGUAUUUGUAGGGAGGGGGAUCCGACCACAAUGUUAAAAUACAAGUACCUGGUCUGUGGAGAUCAGAAGCAGAAGGUCCAGCUGCAGGCGCCUGGGUAUGAAUUUUAUCUGAAAGUGAAGUCAGAGGGAGUAUUCAUCACUCUUGACAAGACUUGGCAGCUGCCCAGCAACCAGCAUGCAGACGACGAUGCAGGGGAUGUCCAACCAUCAUGGACCAAAGACCUAUGCCUGUCCUUUGCACUAUACCGGCUACUCCGUUGCAGAUUUGACGACUUACCCCUGCCAGCCGAUAGUAUUAAAAGCACCAGAAAAUUAAUGUAUGAAAUUAUUGGCAAGAAGGAUGAAGAUUUGUCUGCACAAAUACAUCACCACGCCGAGGGAACAUUCAGCGGAGAUUUACCUGCACAAAUAGGCCACCACAGUGAGAGAUCAUUCAGCAGAGGUUUACCUGCACAUAUAGACCACCACGCUGAGAGAGCAUUCGGAAUUGCUGAGUUGGAGCUAGCAUUCCUCAAUGACUACUUCUACACAAGAUACCCCAUCCUUUUUUGGCGUGGCUUCCCGCUGAUUUUUGCUUGGUACCCUCCCUUGACCAUUGCUCUCAUUGCUUGGCUUGGAAGGGACAUUUAUAAACUCUACAAGCCUAAACAGGGGGAAAUUGCCCACGUCGUACACAGGGUCAACGUUGACCUGAUCAUCACAUGGAUAUUCAUGGGGAUUAUCGUGCUGAAGGAGUCUUGGAAGGUGGUCACCUACUUGUUGUCCGACUGGACCAAGGUGAUGUUGCUGUGCGAAUACACUUCGAGGACCCUGAAGUGGGUUCCAGAGUGGCUGUGGGAGUUCUUGGUUCAGAUCUUGUGCACACCUGGAUGUAGAAUUGGGCGCCGUUGGCACAAUAAGAUCGGUCAGUAUGAAUUCUUGCAGUCAUUUGGUCACAAUCCUAGGAACAUUCUUUACUGGUUAAGCCUUGGCUUGGUCCCAAAAGAAAUUAGAGGUGCAAAAGUAGGCAGCCCAGCGGAGCUGCCAGAGGAUGUGAAAGCCGCCGUUCUCAAGUCACUUUGCUCAUUAGAUCUUAAGCAGAACUCACUAAAGUCAGACCUGCCGACUGAUGUUAAGCAGUUCAACUUCGAGUGGACUUUCAAACUGGGUACAUGGUGCCAUAGCAUUCUUGUGUGGCAUAUAGCAACAAGCCUCUGUGAGAUUGAGCUUGCCCAGCACUACAACUCAAGCUUAACCACUUCUGAGUUACUGUCUGCAAUCAAGACUGCUCUCAAUUGCUUUUCCUCCCAGCCAUAUGUUAUAAAGGAAGACAGAAUUGAAGGGUGGCUGCGGGCUAAUUAUAUAGCCGCCAACAGUAUAUCACGCUACUGUGCCUAUCUGCUUCUUAUAGAACCAGAUUUGCUACCUGACAGUUUCCUAACUGCCGAUGACUUAUUCAGAAACACCGUCGAUGAGGCUUUAGAUAUCCUGAAAGGCUGUGACACCCUGCAAAGCAUAUACAGAAGGCUGAUUCGAGGAGUGCCUCAACAAGACGAUCAAAAAAUGGACAGAUUAAGGACCCAUCCCAAUACGAUACUUGCGAGUGCUGCACGCCUUGCUUGGUCUCUGAUUCAUGAGAUCCCAGAUGAAGUAGUUCGCUGGAAGGUCCUCGCAGAAGUCUGGGUCGAUAUACUGGUACACACAGCCCCCUCAUGGAAUGCCUCGGCUCACAAGAAAUGCCUUGCAACAGGUAGUGAGUUCAUAACGCAUAUAUGGGUCAUUCUUUCUCAUUGCAACGUCCACAGCAGCAAGCGCUGGCCAUACCAAGAACCCCCACACGAUGACGACGACCAAGGAGUGGAACGGCAAGGAGUGGGAGCACCAGCACCACAUGAACCAAAUGUGGGUGCUGCUGGUGAACGAAGCGUCAGCAAGGAUCCAUCAAAUGGAGCACUGCAAGAACAAGACCAAAAAUGGGGUCCAAUUCCGGGGCAGCAAUUGACCACAAAUGGUCAACAGCUUGCUCAGAACGAAACAGAUGAAAGCAACAAAAUACAAGAGCUCGGAGCCGAUUGGAAAGGAUGA
rnacentral:rRNA from 1 species